rnacentral:lncRNA from 1 species
GUAAACCCCAACAAAGUGUACCAUCCUGAAUGAAGAAUGAAGGGUCUUGACCCAGGAGUUGCUGACUCAGCACCUGCUCUCAGAAUACUCCAAGACUACUUUUAGAUAGGAAUAGCUCCCAGUGGGAAAUUCUUUGAAUUCUAAUAACACAGCCUUAAUUUUGCUACAUAGUAUUGAUAAAUGAGUGUGUUUCAUCCUUUCCACCUAAGACAUACUACCUAUAUUAUAGUUAUUGCAGCUGAAUGCAAUGUAAUACCCUGCAAAACCACAAGCUCUGUGCUGAGUGCUGCUAUAGGUGGGGUGCUAAGCAUUCCAAGUCAUCAAAAAUCGUCAGGAAAGAAAUAACCACAGCACUCCUAUUUCCCUUCUGAAAAGAAAAGACUCAGUGUGUAAAGAGCUAAGGCUGAGUGAGGCAAUUCCUCCUGGAUCACGUGAGAGCCUCACUGUCCCAGUAACACAUCUGCUGAGGCCACCCUGUGCUGUGGGCAAGCACCAGAGACCCAGGCAGGGGGCAAAAUGGGACUGGAAGGAUGAAACAAAGGAGCAACCCAUGCCAACAGCCUGGGCUUUUCUCCACAGAUAGGUAAAUACUCUGUUUUGGAUUUUAUGUCAUUGUCU